rnacentral:rRNA from 1 species
CCUACGGGAGGCAGCAGUAGGGAAUCUUCCACAAUGGGCGAAAGCCUGAUGGAGCAACGCCGCGUGGGUGAAGAAGGUCUUCGGAUCGUAAAACCCUGUUGUUAGAGAAGAAAGUGCGUGAGAGUAACUGUUCACGUUUCGACGGUAUCUAACCAGAAAGCCACGGCUAACUACGUGCCAGCAGCCGCGGUAAUACGUAGGUGGCAAGCGUUAUCCGGAUUUAUUGGGCGUAAGGGGAACGCAGGCGGUCUUUUAAGUCUGAUGUGAAAUCCUUCGGCUUAACCGGAGUAGUGCAUUGGAAACUGGGAGACUUGAGGGCAGAAGAGGAGAGUGGAACUCCAUGUGUAGCGGUGAAAUGCGUAGAUAUAUGGAAGAACACCAGUGGCGAAAGCGGCUCUCUGGUCUGUAACUGACGCUGAGGUUCGAAAGCGUGGGUAGCAAACAGGAUUAGAUACCCGAGUAGUC